UUAAUUAUUAGUGUAAAAUUUAAUUUUUUAAUUAAAAAGUUAAAAUAAUUUAAAAAGACGAGAAGACCCUAUAGAGUUUUAUAAAUAGAUUAAUUAAGAUUAUUUGAAAUUUAAAAUUAAAAUUAGUUUAUUUAUUAUAUUGGGGUGAUAGAAAAAUAUAUAUAACUUUUUUUU
rnacentral:rRNA from 1 species